ACCCUUCUGUAGUUCAUAAGCAUGAUGACUAGGUGUUCAUACGCAUGUGUGAGAUGUACCACCCUCAAACCUUGCUAUGACAUUGGCACAUUACCUGUCAGACA
rnacentral:snoRNA from 1 species